ACGGGUGAGUAACGCGUAAAGAACUUGCCUCUUAGUCUGGGAUAACAGAUGGAAACGACUGAUAAGACUAGAUAUUAUUAAAGUUUCGCAUGAAGCUUUAAUGAAAAGAGAUGCUAAGAGAGAGCUUUGCGUCCUAUUAGUUAGUUGGUGAGGUAACGGCUCACCAAGACGAAGAUAGGUAGCCGGUCUGAGAGGAUGGACGGCCACAAGGGGACUGAGAUACGGCCCUUACUCUUACGGGAGGCAGCAGUGGGGAAUAUUGGACAAUGGAGGAGACUCUGAUCCAGCAAUUCUGUGUGCACGAAGACGGUUUUCGGAUUGUAAAGUGCUUUCAGCAGGGAAGAAGAAAGUGACGGUACCUGCAGAAGAAGCGACGGCUAAAUACGUGCCAGCAGCCGCGGUAAUACGUAUGUCGCGAGCGUUAUCCGGAAUUAUUGGGCAUAAAGGGCAUCUAGGCGGAUAUACAAGUCAGGGGUGAAAACUUAGGGCUCAACUCAAAGCUUGCCUUUGAAACUGUAUAUCUAGAGUGCUGGAGAGGUGGACGGAACUACACGAGUAGAGGUGAAAUUCGUAGAUAUGUGUAGGAAUGCCGAUGAUGAAGAUAGUCCACUGGACAGCAACUGACGCUGAAGUGCGAAAGCUAGGGGAGCAAACAGGAUUAGAUACCCUGGUAGUCCUAGCUGUAAAC
rnacentral:rRNA from 1 species